rnacentral:lncRNA from 1 species
UACAAUUUCGUUAUUCUCUCGAUUCUUCUCUCCUAAGUUUUUCCAUGAUUCGAGGGCCUUUUGUAGCGUGUUUCUCAAACGUAGGAUGAUUUGAACCUCCUAGAAAUGCGUUUGGAUCUCAAGGAAUGUCAGACAAUACUGCGUCUUGUCGAGUUGAUCUUCGGGCAGAACUCCGUUAGUCUUUGUCGGUCGAGUUGAUCUUCGGGCAGAACUCCGUUAGUCUUUGUCGG